rnacentral:rRNA from 1 species
GACGAACGCUGGCGGCGUGCCUAAUACAUGCAAGUCGAACGCAUUUUCUUUCACCGUAGCUUGCUACACCGAAAGAAAAUGAGUGGCGAACGGGUGAGUAACACGUGGGUAACCUGCCCAUCAGCGGGGGAUAACACUUGGAAACAGGUGCUAAUACCGCAUAAUUCCAUUUACCGCAUGGUAAAUGGAUGAAAGGCGCUUUUGCGUCACUGAUGGAUGGACCCGCGGUGCAUUAGCUAGUUGGUGGGGUAACGGCCUACCAAGGCUGCGAUGCAUAGCCGACCUGAGAGGGUGAUCGGCAACACUGGGACUGAGACACGGCCCAGACUCCUACGGGAGGCAGCAGUAGGGAAUCUUCGGCAAUGGACGCAAGUCUGACCGAGCAACGCCGCGUGAUUGAAGAAGGUUUUCGGAUCGUAAAACUCUGUUGUUAGAGAAGAACAAGGAUGAGAGUGGAAAGUUCAUCCCUUGACGGUAUCUAACCAGAAAGCCACGGCAAACUACGUG